AUCGGGCAGGAGGAGCCGGAGCCCUAGCGCCGGGGGAGACGGGCACGCAGCCGCCGGGCGCCCGCUCUCCCUCCAUCCCCGCCGGGCGGUGUUCCGGGAGACGCGGCAUGAAGGGCCCUAGUUUAGAAACACAGAUGGUGGAUGAUGAAACUGAGACUACAGGUGAAGAAUUGCCUCCUCAUCUGCGGGAAGAGCCUCCCGAAGCCAUUGACACAAACUGAAUUGAUGUGAAGCCUCAGGCCUUCCACUGCAAAAUUUGUCUAGAGCAUGAAGAAUCUCAUUAUUACAGAGUGCACUUGAAGCUUGAAGUACAGAGAGGAUGAUGACUACAUUGAUAGUUAACUGCUGCACCCUAUGAGUCAGUGUCAUCAGUGCAUUUAAUGUCUAGGCUUGUGCCAGCAUUCACAUUCAUGUGCUUGAGUGAUGGCAGACAAUAAUGACUCAUGCUUCAUUUACUGGUGUCCUAUCACUUUUUCUCUGGCUUCAUGGACUUUUUGAGUAAUCUCAAAGAGCAAUUACUGGGAAAGAAUGAAAUCUCUAUGCAUGAAUAAGGGUCAGAGAACUCAGAGGGACUCUGAACA